GUUUCCGGCCAACACGUUUAGUACAAAGUGCAUGAAGUGGUGAAUUUCUGGAAUCUAUGUCUGUUUGACUCUAUCAAACGAAAAGCGAUUUGUAACGUCGAAGUAUAACAUAAAAACAUCAGUGUUUGGGUACAAAAGGGGUCGAAUGCGAUUAUAUUCUUCGCCGCUGGAGCUGCCGAUGACAAGGAAGUCCACUUGAAUCUCCGAGGAAGACAAUCUUUAUAGGUGGUUUUUCGUGCUCCAUUGCUGCCAGAAUUGCUUCGCUAUCAGGAAUUUCACUGUUUCACUCGUGACGUCAACUAUUGGAUCAUGGCCACUGAGUGGACUCCUUUGGCUUGUUUGUCAUCUUGCAUGCAAAGAAAUAAAGCCGAUAAGGAAUUGAAAGUUGCCCUUAUUGUAAUAAAUAUGCCAUUAGGUGGUAUGUUUGACAAGUUCAAGAAAUUGUGCAAUAUUGCAAGUGUUAAGAGUUACACUGAUGGAGGCAGCAGCCAAGUUUUUAACGUAGUUGGUGAGGAGCAAGAAAAAUAUCUGCCAGACUAUAUCAGUGGUGAUUUUGACUCAGUUGAUCCUGACAUUUUAAACUUUUACAAGGGAAAGGGCGUGGAGAUAAUCCCUACCCCAGACCAGAAUGAAACAGACUUAACCAAGUGUCUUAGAAUUUUAAUAAGCAACAAAAGCAUCAGUGAGUUUGAUCAGAUUGUUGUUAUGAAUGCAUUUGGUGGACGUCUUGACCACACCAUGGCUAACAUAGAAACCAUGUUUCACAUCACAAAGCUGACAAACAAACCCCUUUAUUUGAUGUCCGAGGACUCAGUAGCUUGUCUUCUCAUGCCGGGAAAUCAUGUCAUCCACGCGAACACUGGUUUAGAAGGAGACUGGUGCGGGCUUAUACCGAUAGGCGCCAAGUGUACACACAUUACUACAACUGGCCUGAAAUGGAACUUAAGUGAUGGUCAGUUAGAGUUUGGAACCUUGGUCAGUACAUCAAACACAUAUGACGGAAGUGGAGUUGUUACCAUAGAAACCGACACCACUGUUUUGUGGACCAUGGGAGUUAAAUAAAAUAAAUCAACCAAAGAAAAAACUGUAGACAUGUAAGAUAUAGGACAAAAAUGAAGUUCUCAAAGAUAGCUUGUGACUCAAUGAAGAGUCAGUUCCUCAGUUUGAGAAUGAGAGAAAGUAUAUUUUUGAAACCACUUGAGCUGAGAGUUCCUUCCCUCGAUGUUUGUAAUAUAAAUUAUAAUUUUUUAUUAAUAUAUUUUUUUGUAUGCAUACUUUUACAGCAUCAAAAAAAUUUACAAUUUACGUUUUUCUCGGUGUAAUAAACACGUGUACUGUGCCCAGAAUAAGUUGCUUAAUUGACGAAAUUUUACUGAGGUUUGUGUUGUCUCAUAAAUUAUAUAUCAUUAUAUAUACCUGACAAUAUUAUUGCAAUAAUAUGAG